AGCUUUGUGCAGAGGCAGUAUCGUAGCCAAUGAGGUUUAUCCGAGGUGUGAUAAUUGCUAAUUGAAAACUUUUCUCAUAAAUGCAGC
ensembl:snRNA U4 U4 spliceosomal RNA